CGGCAGCGCGAGUAGUUUACUACUUGGCGGCGAGCGGCGGACGGCUGAGUAACGCGUGGGAACGUGCCCCAAAGUGAGGAAUAACUGCCCGAAAGGGUGGCUAAUGCCGCAUAUGAUCUUCGGAUUAAAGGAUUUAUCCGCUUUGGGAGCGGCCCGCGUCGGAUUAGGUUGUUGGUGAGGUAAUGGCUCACCAAGCCGACGAUCCGUAGCUGGUCUGAGAGGAUGAUCAGCCAGACUGGAACUGAGACACGAUCCAGACUCCUACGGGAGGCAGCAGUGAGGAAUCUUCCACAAUGGGGGCAACCCUGAUGGAGCAACGCCGCGUGCAGGAUGAAGGCCUUCGGGUCGUAAACUGCUUUUAUAAGUGAAGAAUAUGACGGUAACUUAUGAAUAAGGAUCGGCUAACUACGUGCCAGCAGCCGCGGUCAUACGUAGGAUCCGAGCAUUAUCCGGAGUGACUGGGCGUAAAGAGUUGCGUAGGCGGUUAGUAAAGCGAAUAGUGAAACCUGGUGGCUCAACCAUACAGACUAUUAUUCGAACUCGCUAACUCGAGAAUGGUAGAGGUAACUGGAAUUUCUUGUGUAGGAGUGAAAUCCGUAGAUAUAAGAAGGAACACCAAUGGCGUAGGCAGGUUACUGGACCAUUUCUGACGCUAAGGCACGAAAGCAUGGGGAGCGAACCGGAUUAGAUACCCGGGUAGUCCACGCCGUAAACGAUGGAUACUAGCUGUUGGGGGUAUCGACCCCCCCAGUAGCGAAGCUAACGCGUUAAGUAUCCCGCCUGUGGAGUACGGUCGCAAGACUAAAACAUAAAGGAAUUGACGGGGACC
rnacentral:rRNA from 1 species